AUACGGAGGGUGCAAGCGUUACUCGGAAUCACUGGGCGUAAAGCGCGCGCAGGCGGUCUUUUAAGUUGGAUGUGAAAGCCUACGGCUCAACCGUAGAACUGCAUCCAAAACUAUUAGACUAGAGUGUGGGAGAGGAAGAUGGAAUUAGUUGAGUAGGGGUAAAAUCCGUAGAGAUAACUAGGAAUACCAAAAGCGAAGGCAAUCUUCUGGAACACUACUGACGCUGAGGCGCGAAAGCGUGGGGAGCAAACAGGAUUAGAUACCCUAGUAGUCC
rnacentral:rRNA from 1 species